UCAGGCGUGGCUUUGAAGAGGAGCUGGCGCCUGCAGUUUUGUGUGCUGUGCUGUAAUUGCUGCUGCUGGGAGCUGAGUGGAGAGCUUGGGUGAGCUGUGAAACCACGACAUGGAUGCAGUGAUCUAUAAUGAUGUGCAUGUUGACUUCACUUGGGAAGAGUGGACUUUGCUGGAUCCUUCCCAGAAGAAUCUCUACAAAGAUGUGAUGCUGGAGACCUAUAGGAACCUCACUACUAUAGGAUAUAAUUGGGAAGACCAUAAUACUGAAGAACAUUGUCAUAAUAUUGAAGAACAUUGUCAAAGUUCUAGAAGACAUGAAAGGCAUGAAAGAAGUCAAGCUGAAGAGAAACCUUCUGCAUAUACUCAAUGCGUUAAAGCCUUUGCAUAUGACACUCAUCUUCAAUGGAAAGAAAGAACACAUACUGGAGAGAAACCUUAUGAAUGUAAUCAGUGUGGUAAAGCCUUUGCAAGUCACAGUUAUUUCCAAAUACAUAAAAGAAUACAUACUGGAGAGAAACCCUAUGAAUGUGAUCAGUGUGAUAAAGCCUUUGCACGUCACAAUAAUCUUUUAAUGCAUAAAAGAACACAUACUGGAGACAAACCCUAUGAAUGUGAUCAGUGUGGUAAAGCCUUUGCACGUCACAAUAAUCUUCUAAUGCAUAAAAGAACACAUACUGGAGACAAACCCUAUGAAUGUAAUCAGUGUGGUAAAGCGUUUGCAUUUCACACUUCUCUUCAACGGCAUGAAAGAACACAUACUGGAGAGAAGCCAUAUGAAUGUAAUCAAUGUGGUAAAGCCUUUGCACAACCCAGUAAUCUUCAAAUGCAUAAAAGAACACAUACUGGAGAGAAACCCUAUCAAUGUAAUCAAUGUGGUAAAGCCUUUUCACAUCUUGGUCAUCUUCAAAGGCAUGGAAGAACACAUACUGGAGAGAAACCCUAUGAAUGUAAUCAUUGUGGUAAAGCCUAUGCACAUCUUAGUACUCUUCAAAUGCAUCAAAGAUCACAUACUGGAGAGAAACCUUAUGAAUGUAAUCAGUGUGGUAAAGCCUUUGCACGUUGCAGUCAUCUUCAAAUGCAUCAAAGAACACAUACUGGAGAGAAACCCUAUGAAUGUAAUCAGUGUGGUAAAGCCUUUGCACAGCACAGUCAUCUUCAAAUGCAUCAAAGGACACAUAAUGGAGAGAAACCCUAUGAAUGUAAUCAGUGUGGUAAAGCUUUUGCAUGUAUCAGUAGUAUUCAAAGUCAUGUGAAAAAAUUACACUGCAGAGAAACCAUUUAAAUAUAGUCAAUGUGAUAAAGUUUUGCACUUUAUAUAAGAGUAAUAAUUCUUGUGUGCAAUCAGUCUGUUAAAGCCUUUGCAUAUUGCAAUAGUCUUUGAGUACCUGAAAAAAGUAUUUGGUAAGAUCUUUAGUCAACACACAUUCAGUUACACAAGUGUAUUUAUUCUGGAGAAGAAAUUUUUACAGUGUCAACAACCUGUUCAAGUAUUAAGAUGUCUGUCUAUUUUGUUUGUACCUUCAAACUCAUGGAGAAAAAAGCCCUAUGAAUUUAAAUGAGAAGAUAACCCUUUGGGAAAUUCAUAUUUACCUUCAAUUACAUGAAACAGCUAGUUCAAGUGUAAAACUUUAUGGAUGUGUAUUAGUGCCUUUUCUGUGUUGUGAUAUAAUGUCUAUGCCAACUUAUAAAAUAGUUUAAUUUGGCCCUUUGUUUCAGAGGGAUAUAAGAUCACCAUGAAAGUGGUAUAAUAACAAGUGUCAGACAUGGCAGCUAAAGCAGGAGUCUAGGAUUUCACAUCCUUAACCUGCAACAUGAAGCAGAGAGUGAGAACUGGAAAUGGUGUGUGGAUGCAAAUUCUCAAAGCCUACCCCAAGUGAUAUAUUUCCUCCAGCAAGGCCGCAUUUAACCCAUUUCCUAAAUCUUUCCAAGUGAUAACACCAACUGAGAAGGAUUGAUUUCUCUAACUUCAAUCUUACAUGUUUGCUUUCUGUUACAUGAACCAAUUCAUGAUGAAGAAAAACUCUGCUACAUAUAUUCAAAGGGCCAAGAAAUGACACAUGGGAACCUCUUAUUCAGUUUACUUCUAAAAUUACUUGGUGAUUACAUUAGAACUUCUGUGUCAUGGAAUAAGUGUGUCUAGCACCAGAAUUAUAUGAAUAUAAGUAUACACCUACAAGCUGUUAGCAUCACACUUUCUACUGUACACAUGUAUGGGAUAUUUUAUAAUGCAUUGACCUAUGAAGAUGUGCAUGUCAACUUCACUCAGGAAGAGUAGGCUUUGCUUGAUCCUUCCCAGAAGAGUCUCUACAAAGAUGUGAUGCUGGAGAUCUACAGGAACCUCAUGCUAUAGUGAGAAGACUAUAAUAUUGAGGAACAUUGUCAAAUUUCUAGAAGACUUAAAAGGUAAUUUUUAUGUGUACAUGGAUACAAAUGUGCCUCUGAAGAAAUUUUAGUGUGUCCUGGAAAAUUUAAAGCAAAGUAACAGUGUAAAUAAAAUAAGCACAGCUUAAUGUGUAUUGAUGAUUAUUAAAUUCCCCCCAAAUCAUGUGCCUCAAUGUCAGGUAGCUGAUAUGUGUUUACAAGGCAUUCCUCUAAGAAAGAAAACAAGGAAACAAUGCCUUUACAGAUAUCACCAUUUGAAUCACAGCUACAUGAGAGAUAUGCUGUAGAACUGACAAUCUGUUUGGUUUUAUACCACUGAAAUAUUGCCAAAAGUAUACAUGUUGAAUAUGUGAUAAGUUUAUGUCCAAAACCUUCUAAUAAGCAAAUAGUCCAUAGCAAAACUGGUGUUACUCAUAUACUUGUGACUUUGCUAAUUUUGGUGAGAAGGGCAGUUUAUACUAGUCAAGAAUGUUGUGAAGAAAUGUUAAUCCCUAUAGCACAUGUCCAUGAGGAACCAAAAGACAAACUGUGAAUUCAAUAUGGAAAAAAAUAUUUUUCAUUUUUUUUAAUUGGUAUUUCAUAUGUCAUUCUAAAUAUAAGCCAUGUGAACAUGGAGAUAUGGAUAUGUUCUCCCAGAACAAUUAAAAGAUAUUUAGCAGUUCCACUUUGACUAGAUUUAUUCAAUGUGAUAUAAAUUUACAAUUAUUUGGUUUUCUGACUUCAUUGAAAAUAUAUCAACAAAUUCACACUGCAGAAAAACCUAUAAGAAUAGCAAUGUAUAAAUACUUCUGUUUGUCCUGGUUUACUUUUCAAAUGUAGCAUGAUUCACAGUAUAGGAAAAUUUAAGAAUGCAGUAUUUGUGGUAAAGCUCUGAGUUCUUCCAGUUCUCUUCAAAUAUGUGAAAAAUGUCAUAGGAAAAAGAUGCUACAAAUGUGAGCCAUGUAAUAAAAGCUCUUACCAUCACAGGUAUCUUCAAAGAUGCAAAACAACCCUAAUGAAGGGGAACACCAUGAGUGUAAACACAGUGAUAAAACCUUAAGAUCUGAUUUCUCUUUACAAUUAGAUCAAAUUAUAAAUUAAUUCAUACAGAUACAAAGAUUCAACAGUGUAAUGAAUGUGGUAAAGCUUUUACAUGUGCCAAUUAUCCUUGCAGCCACAAAAGAAGUCACACUGGAGAAAUUCUAUAAAGGUAUUCAAUAUGAUGAAGGGUUUAUGCCUCCAGUAAGGAAAAAAAAGGAACUUGCAGGCACGAAGACUGACUUGUCUGUAUGGGAUGCUAUUCUGUUUCCCUGGCACCUGCAAAAGCCUCAGUUAGAAGCCUGGUGUGGUGGUGAAUCCAGAUGACAUCAAGGUUGUCAGGAGAUCCUGAGACUUAAACAGAAGUCACUCUAAGGCUGGGGCCAUCAGGCAUUUACAAAGAAAGAGCCAUGGAGUAUGAAAGAACUGUUAGGGAGGGAGCUUUGAGUGUGAAAGCUAAAGGAUCAAAUGGCCAGAGAGCAAUGCUUGGGGUGUACCUGAGGAUAAGCUGGUUCCUACUGUGCUCUUUGUAUCCACUCAGCUGUGGUGGAUCAGGCCCUCCGGGUCUUCCAUGGUUUCCUUUUCUUGGCAUUACAUGUAGCUGACUCUGCAGGCCUCCACUUUGCAGUCCCCACUUGGACCUAAAAGCUCCUCAGUCCCUACCCUGUCAAUCCUUGGAAACUGCCUGCCUGGUAGGAAUAAGGAUAUGCCUAAAAACACAUUUAUAUCUCUCCCGUUUGCUAACAACUUGUGAAACAGUGGACCCCAUGGAAUUCUAGUUUCCCCAAGAAUCUUAUUGAGAAAAGACUGAGUCCUCAGAUUGAGAAUGUCUCUACUAAAGAAACAUUUUCUCCUCAUCUGACCACCUUUCUGGAGAGACAGGAGCUGAGAAUGGGAGAGGUUUUUACAGAUGGAAAAAAAUUGAUUAUAUGGCUUCAUUAGAUUAAUUAGUUUUGCAUAUCUUUUGCCUUCUAUCAAAACCUGUUAGGGCCCCAAGAUUGGAUUAGUUACCUUAUAUCUUCACCACUGUUCCAAAUUAGUCAAACUAAAUAAAUAUCAUGUUUUCAUUAAUAAUUUUCUUUCUCCCUUUUCUAUUGUUUUCUUUUUUUAAAGCAUAACUUUACUGUGAAUCUAUUUGUGGCCUGGAAUUCACUCUAUAGACUAGACUGUCCUAGGACAUCAGAGAGGUCUGCCUACCAUGCCUCCAGAGGUCUCACACUAUAGGUAGCCAGAUCAUAACUGUAUAACUCGGUUCUUUUAAUUGACUUACUGAGGAUGUGUGGGUGAACCUGGCUGGUUAGGGUAGCAAGGACACAGACACUUGUCUAACUCCAGUAACAGAAGAAGGUUCCCAUCAAAUGCAGGCCUCCUGCAUAUAAGUCUACUGUCUUUCAACUAUGAACAAUAUUGUUUUUCAUUAUCAUUGAGUCUGUUAUAACUCAUCAAAGGACCUGAGCAUAGUUCUGUCCUUGUUUUCCAGUUGUUGAAACCCAGGCCCACCUAGAUAAGUAGUUUUUAAAUAUAGUUAUGUGUAACUGCUUAUCUUACUCAUCCUGUCUUUCUAAUGCCUCACUAAUGAAGUUGAAGACAACUAAGCCAUACAUGGUGGCACGGCCUAUAAUCAUGAUACUUAGAAUUUGUAGGCAACAAUUUUAGGAUUUCAAUUUCAUCCAAGAUGAGAAUUGCAAUGGGGUAUGUUGGGAGGACUAUGGAACUAAGGAAGAAUGUGAUUGGCUCAAAACAGUGUACAUAGUCUUCCCUGCAGCUCCAGAAUUUCAGAACCAUAGCACCAGCAAUUAUUACCUGAGGUAUUUACCACCUCAAGUUUUCUGUUCUUGAUAAUGUUUCCUGUCCAAGGUCAACUUUGGGGUCAACUCCUGUUGCUCAUUAAAGAGUGGAAUUCUCCUACAUAAGAGAAUUAGCCUCAAGCAGAGAUGAGCUUCCUAGUUGCAUAUCCAAUGCAAUAUCAUCCCUGAAAUCCUAUAGACACAACCAACAGAAAUGGACUCAGCAGUUUUUAUUCAUAUAUUUGUGCAUAUAUAUUCACACAUACUUAACAAGAAAGAAAUUGGAAGGGAAGAAUUUGAAAAGGGAUUGAGAGAGGACAAAGAUGGUAGAAAGUAAUGUAAUAUAUUUUAAGUAAAAUGUAUCAAAUAAAUUUUAAAUGAAAAUGUGGCUAGAGAGAUAGCUUAGCAGUCAACAGCACUGGGUGUAAUUAUAGAGGACACGUUUCAUUCCCAGAAACCACCUGGUAGCUAUCGCCAUUAACUCCAGUCCCCAGGGAUCUGGUGCCCUCUUCUGGCCUCUACAGGUACUGUGCACAGAUGCUUGAAGGCAAAUACUCAUAUACAUAAAACAAAAAUAAAGCUUAAAAAAAAAAAACUCCAUCAUGAUGUCACAGCCCUGAGAGACAGCAGGGUAGAUAAAAUGAACUCCUUCUGAUCCUUCAUGGAACCAACUGUCUGCUUUCUCUGAGACAGCAUGCUCAGGGGCAAAAAUAGCCUUAUUCUGUCUCAGGUUUGAAUAUCUCAGCAGGACUGUUCAUCUAAGAACAGCAUCCACAGUGACUUUUCCCUGAUAUUUUCUGUAUUUGUGUUCUUAGCCUUUUGUAUGUAUGAGAAUGAAAGACAAUGAUAUAUCUCCUAAAAGUAUUGAUACAACUUUUAAAUGUAGAACCUAGUGUAUCAUCUAAAAGAUGGAUUUUUCUCUGUAAAUCUUAUCUAAGUGGCUAUACUUGUGGUCUCCUGUCCCUAUUUAAAUUGUUCAAAGAAUAUCCCUUGGACCUGAUCCUAAAAGAAACUUAAGAAUGACAUCAUAUAUGUAAUGUUGGAUGCAUGCUGUUAUUAAACAGAUUUUUGUUUAUUAAUCUCAA